rnacentral:rRNA from 1 species
GAUGAACGCUGGCGGCGUGCCUAAUACAUGCAAGUCGAACGAACGGACGAGAAGCUUGCUGCUCUGAUGUUAGCGGCGGACGGGUGAGUAACACGUGGAUAACCUACCUAUAAUACUGGGAUAACUUCGGGACACCGGCGCUAAUCCCGGAGAAUCUUUUGAACCGUAUGGUUGAAUGGUAAAAUACGGUGUUGCUGUCACUUCUCGCUGGAUCUGGGCUUCAUUAGCUGGUUGGUAAGUUAACGGCUUAUCAAGGCAACGAGGCAUAGACGACGGGAGAGAGGGAUAGGCCACAUGGGAGGUGAGCCGCGGUCCAGAGGCCUACGGGACGCAGCAGAAGGGAAUGGGACGCAACGGGCGAAAGUCUGACGGAGCAACGGCGCGUGAGUGAUGAAGGUCCCCGGAGCGUAAAACUGUGUUAUGAGGGAAAAACAGAUGUGUACGGAACUGAGCACAGCGUGACGGUAACUAGUCAGAAAGCAACGGCUAACUACGUG